AGAGUUUGAUCCUGGCUCAGAACGAACGCUGGCGGCGUGCCUAACACAUGCAAGUCGAACGAGAAAGGGGCUUCGGCUCCGAGUAAAGUGGCGCACGGGUGAGUAACACGUGGGUAACCUGCCUCUAAGAUUGGGAUAACUCGUCGAAAGAUGAGCUAAUACCGAAUAAGACCACAGUUCCUGCGGGAACAGGGGUCAAAGGUAGCCUCUGCUUGCAAGCUAUCACUUACAGAUGGGCCUGCGCACCAUUAGCUAGUUGGUAGGGUAACGGCCUACCAAGGCAAAGAUGGUUAGCUGGUCUGAGAGGAUGAUCAGCCACACUGGAACUGAGACACGGUCCAGACUCCUACGGGAGGCAGCAGUGGGGAAUAUUGCGCAAUGGGCGAAAGCCUGACGCAGCAACGCCGCGUGAGUGAUGAAGGCCUUCGGGUCGUAAAGCUCUGUCGGGAGGAACGAAUGCUCCUGAGGUUAACAGCCUCGGGAGGUGACGGUACCUUCAAAGGAAGCACCGGCUAACUCUGUGCCAGCAGCCGCGGUAAU
rnacentral:rRNA from 1 species